CCGUGUCUAUAUACUCUUGUUGCUUUGGCAGGCCGUGGCCUCCCACUGUGGGCUCAGCCUGCAUGUGCCUGCCAGAGGACCAAACUCUGAAUGUUAGUGAUGUCUGAGUACUAUAUAAUAGUUAAAACUUUCAACAACGGAUCUCUUGGUUCUGGCAUCGAUGAAGAACGCAGCGAAAUGCGAUAAGUAAUGUGAAUUGCAGAAUUCAGUGAAUCAUCGAAUCUUUGAACGCACAUUGCACCCGGUGGUAUUCCGCCGGGUAUGCCUGUUCGAGCGUCAUUAUAACCACUCAAGCCUGUCUUGGUGUUGGGGAUUGCGAAUCUCGCAGCCCUAGAGUCCAGUAGCGUCACCUGUGGGUCCUAAGCGUAGUAAUUUCUCCUCGCUACAGAACCUGCUCGUGGAUAGUGUAAAUCCAGUUAGGUCUGGUAUCCCGCUAUUAAACCCCCAAUUUUCAAAGGUUGACCUCGGAUCAAGUAGGGAUACCCGCUGAACUUAAGCAUAUC
rnacentral:rRNA from 1 species